GAUGAACGCUGGCGGCGUGCCUAAUACAUGCAAGUCGAGCGAACAGACGAGGAGCUUGCUCCUCUGACGUUAGCGGCGGACGGGUGAGUAACACGUGGAUAACCUACCUAUAAGACUGGGAUAACUUCGGGAAACCGGAGCUAAUACCGGAUAACAUGUUGAACCGCAUGGUUCAACAGUGAAAGACGGUCUUGCUGUCACUUAUAGAUGGAUCCGCGCCGCAUUAGCGAGUUGGUAAGGUAACGGCUUACCAAGGCAACGAUGCGUAGCCGACCUGAGAGGGUGAUCCGCCACACUGGAACUGAGACACGGUCCAGACUCCUACGGGAGGCAGCAGUAGGGAAUCUUCCGCAAUGGGCGAAAUCCUGACGGAGCAACGCCGCGUGAGUGAAGAAGGUCUUCGGAUCGUAAAACUCUGUUAUUAGGGAAGAACAAAUGUGUAAGUAACUAUGCACGUCUUGACGGUACCUAAUCAGAAAGCCACGGCUAACUACGUG
rnacentral:rRNA from 1 species